GGCUUCAAUGGUGCAAUUGGUUGAAGCGCGCGCCCAUUGAAAGGGUGGAAUGCGGGUUCGAUUCCCGCCUGACGUCG